rnacentral:rRNA from 1 species
GACGUGGGGCGCGAGCGUUGUCCGGAUUUAUUGGGCGUAAAGAGCUCGUAGGCGGCUUGUCGCGUCGACUGUGAAAACCCGAGGCUCAACCUCGGGCCUGCAGUGGGUACGGGCAGACUAGAGUGCGGUAGGGGAGAUUGGAAUUCCUGGUGUAGCGGUGGAAUGCGCAGAUAUCAGGAGGAACACCAAUGGCGAAGGCAGAUCUCUGGGCCGUAACUGACGCUGAGGGGCGAAAGCAUGGGGAGCGAACAGG